GGGUUGUGAGGUUAAGCGACUAAGCGUACACGGUGGAUGCCCUGGCAGUCAGAGGCGAUGAAGGGCGUGCUAAUCUGCGAUAAGCGCCGGUAAGGUGAUAUGAACCGUUAUAACCGGCGAUACCCGAAUGGGGAAACCCAGUGUGAUUCGUCACACUAUCAUUAACUGAAUCCAUAGGUUAAUGAGGCGAACCGGGGGAACUGAAACAUCUAAGUACCCCGAGGAAAAGAAAUCAACCGAGAUUCCCCCAGUAGCGGCGAGCGAACGGGGAGGAGCCCAGAGCCUGAAUCAGCAUGUGUGUUAGUGGAAGCGUCUGGAAAGGCGCGCGAUACAGGGUGACAGCCCCGUACACAAAAGCGCAUGUGCUGUGAGCUCGAUGAGUAGGGCGGGACACGUGGUAUCCUGUCUGAAUAUGGGGGGACCAUCCUCCAAGGCUAAAUACUCCUGACUGACCGAUAGUGAACCAGUACCGUGAGGGAAAGGCGAAAAGAACCCCGGCGAGGGGAGUGAAAAAGAACCUGAAACCGUGUACGUACAAGCAGUGGGAGCNNGUGACUGCGUACCUUUUGUAUAAUGGGUCAGCGACUUAUAUUCUGUAGCAAGGUUAACCGUAUAGGGGAGCCGGAGGGAAACCGAGUCUUAACCGGGCGUUAAGUUGCAGGGUAUAGACCCGAAACCCGGUGAUCUAGCCAUGGGCAGGUUGAAGGUUGGGUAACACUAACUGGAGGACCGAACCGACUAAUGUUGAAAAAUUAGCGGAUGACCUGUGGCUGGGGGUGAAAGGCCAAUCAAACCGGGAGAUAGCUGGUUCUCCCCGAAAGCUAUUUAGGUAGCGCCUCGUGAAUUCAUCUCCGGGGGUAGAGCACUGUUUCGGCUAGGGGGCCAUCCCGGCUUACCAACCCGAUGCAAACUGCGAAUACCGGAGAAUGUUAUCACGGGAGACACACGGCGGGUGCUAACGUCCGUCGUGAAGAGGGAAACAACCCAGACCGCCAGCUAAGGUCCCAAAGUCAUGGUUAAGUGGGAAACGAUGUGGGAAGGCCCAGACAGCCAGGAUGUUGGCUUAGAAGCAGCCAUCAUUUAAAGAAAGCGUAAUAGCUCACUGGUCGAGUCGGCCUGCGCGGAAGAUGUAACGGGGCUAAACCAUGCACCGAAGCUGCGGCAGCGANNNNNNNNNNNNNNNNNNNNNNNNNNNNNNNNNNNNNNNNNNUGCUGGAGGUAUCAGAAGUGCGAAUGCUGACAUAAGUAACGAUAAAGCGGGUGAAAAGCCCGCUCGCCGGAAGACCAAGGGUUCCUGUCCAACGUUAAUCGGGGCAGGGUGAGUCGACCCCUAAGGCGAGGCCGAAAGGCGUAGUCGAUGGGAAACGGGUUAAUAUUCCCGUACUUGGUGUUACUGCGAAGGGGGGACGGAGAAGGCUAUGUUGGCCGGGCGACGGUUGUCCCGGUUUAAGCGUGUAGGUGUGUGUUCCAGGUAAAUCCGGUUCACUUUAACACUGAGGCGUGACGACGAGGCACUACGGUGCUGAAGCAACAAAUGCCCUGCUUCCAGGAAAAGCCUCUAAGCAUCAGGUAACACGAAAUCGUACCCCAAACCGACACAGGUGGUCAGGUAGAGAAUACCAAGGCGCUUGAGAGAACUCGGGUGAAGGAACUAGGCAAAAUGGUGCCGUAACUUCGGGAGAAGGCACGCUGACACGUAGGUGAAGUGAUUUACUCAUGGAGCUGAAGUCAGUCGAAGAUACCAGCUGGCUGCAACUGUUUAUUAAAAACACAGCACUGUGCAAACACGAAAGUGGACGUAUACGGUGUGACGCCUGCCCGGUGCCGGAAGGUUAAUUGAUGGGGUCAGCGCAAGCGAAGCUCCUGAUCGAAGCCCCGGUAAACGGCGGCCGUAACUAUAACGGUCCUAAGGUAGCGAAAUUCCUUGUCGGGUAAGUUCCGACCUGCACGAAUGGCGUAAUGAUGGCCAGGCUGUCUCCACCCGAGACUCAGUGAAAUUGAACUCGCUGUGAAGAUGCAGUGUACCCGCGGCAAGACGGAAAGACCCCGUGAACCUUUACUAUAGCUUGACACUGAACAUUGAGCCUUGAUGUGUAGGAUAGGUGGGAGGCUUUGAAGUGUGGACGCCAGUCUGCAUGGAGCCGACCUUGAAAUACCACCCUUUAAUGUUUGAUGUUCUAACGUGGACCCGUAAUCCGGGUUGCGGACAGUGUCUGGUGGGUAGUUUGACUGGGGCGGUCUCCUCCUAAAGAGUAACGGAGGAGCACGAAGGUUGGCUAAUCCUGGUCGGACAUCAGGAGGUUAGUGCAAUGGCAUAAGCCAGCUUGACUGCGAGCGUGACGGCGCGAGCAGGUGCGAAAGCAGGUCAUAGUGAUCCGGUGGUUCUGAAUGGAAGGGCCAUCGCUCAACGGAUAAAAGGUACUCCGGGGAUAACAGGCUGAUACCGCCCAAGAGUUCAUAUCGACGGCGGUGUUUGGCACCUCGAUGUCGGCUCAUCACAUCCUGGGGCUGAAGUAGGUCCCAAGGGUAUGGCUGUUCGCCAUUUAAAGUGGUACGCGAGCUGGGUUUAGAACGUCGUGAGACAGUUCGGUCCCUAUCUGCCGUGGGCGCUGGAGAACUGAGGGGGGCUGCUCCUAGUACGAGAGGACCGGAGUGGACGCAUCACUGGUGUUCGGGUUGUCAUGCCAAUGGCACUGCCCGGUAGCUAAAUGCGGAAGAGAUAAGUGCUGAAAGCAUCUAAGCACGAAACUUGCCCCGAGAUGAGUUCUCCCUGAGACUUAGAGUCUCCUGAAGGAACGUUGAAGACGACGACGUUGAUAGGCCGGGUGUGUAAGCGCAGCGAUGCGUUGAGCUAACCGGUACUAAUGAACCGUGAGGCUUAACCUUACAACGCCGAAG
rnacentral:rRNA from 1 species